rnacentral:rRNA from 1 species
UACAGAGGGUGCGAGCGUUGUUCGGAAUUAUUGGGCGUAAAGCGUGCGCAGGCGGUUUUGUAAGUCAGAUGUGAAAUCCCCGGGCUUAACCUGGGAACUGCGUUUGAAACUACAAGGCUAGAGUGUGGCAGAGGGGGGUGGAAUUCCACGUGUAGCAGUGAAAUGCGUAGAGAUGUGGAGGAACACCGAUGGCGAAGGCAGCCCCCCUGGGCCAGCACUGACGCUCAUGCACGAAAGCGUGGGGAGCAAACAGG